GACGAACGCUGGCGGCGUGCUUAACACAUGCAAGUCGAGCGGUAAGGCCCUUUCGGGGUACGACGAGCGGCGAACGGGUAGAGUAACACGUGGGUGGACCUCGCCCUCCAGCUCUGGGAGUAAGCCUCGGGAAACCGGGUACGUAAUACUGGAUAUGACUCCAUGACGCAUGUUGUGGGGUGGAAAGACCUUGUGCGGCUGAGGAUGGGCCCGCGGCCUAUCAGCUUGUUGGUGGGGUGANGGCCUACCAAGGCGACGACGGGUAGCCGGCCUGAGAGGGCGACCGGCCACACUGGGA
rnacentral:rRNA from 1 species